CUGGGCGUAAGAGCGCGUAGGCGGGGAUUUAAGUCAGGAGUGAAAACUGUCGGCUCAACCGACAGCCUGCUCUUGAAACUGGAUCUCUUGAGGGUAUGAGAGGAAAGCGGAAUUCCCAGUGUAGCGGUGAAAUGCGUAGAUAUUGGGAGGAACACCAGUGGCGAAGGCGGCUUUCUGGCAUACAACUGACGCUGAGGCGCGAAAGCGUGGGGAGCAAACGGGAUUAGAUACCCCGGUAGUCCACGCCGUAAACGAUGGGCACUAGGUGUAGGAGGUAUCGACCCCUUCUGUGCCGUAGUUAACACAAUAAGUGCCCCGCCUGGGGAGUACGGCCGCAAGGUUGAAACUCAAAGGAAUUGACGGGGGCCCGCACAAGCGGUGGAGUAUGUGGUUUAAUUCGACGCAACGCGAAGAACCUUACCAGGGCUUGACAUCCCCUGACCGCCAUGGAAACAUGGUUUUCUGCCUUCGGGCAGACAGGGAGACAGGUGGUGCAUGGUUGUCGUCAGCUCGUGUCGUGAGAUGUUGGGUUAAGUCCCGCAACGAGCGCAACCCUUAUCUUUAGUUGCCAUCAGGUAGAGCUGGGCACUCUAGAGAGACUGCCGGUGACAAACCGGAGGAAGGUGGG
rnacentral:rRNA from 1 species